rnacentral:lncRNA from 1 species
ACCACUUCAAAAUAAUUCAGGAGCUGCAGCUCUUCUAACGUCCAUUUCUAUGGGCAAACUUCAGAUCUUCUUUAAGGAAAGUACCCUAAUUAUUGUAGCAUUUAUGCAUUUCUUAACCAUUUAACAUGUGAACAAUGAUGCUACGAUUUUUAUUAGUUUCCUAGCUUUUGUUUUCAUGUGUCACCUAUGAAAUUUUUGGGUGUUGUGCCUCGAUUCCAUUUUUUCCGCAAGCCCUGUGGUUUUUACUAUGUGAUUUUGUGUAGCAUGGUCAUUUUAAGAAAUGCCUGUGUCUUAUUACAGCAGAACUAACUAUAUGUAGUCUCACUAUGACUAUCAUUGGUGAUAUUGCUUACGGUGGUGUCUGCAAGAUUUCUUCACUAUAAAAUCACUAAUUUUGCCUUUCCAUACUCUAGUCAUAAGAAGAGAGUUGCCAUCCUGGCUAACACGGUGAAACCCCGUCUCUACUAAAAAUACCAAAAAUUAGACGGGUGUGGUCGUGGGCACCUGUAGUCCCAGCUACUCAGGAGGCUGAGGCAGGAGAAUGGCAUGAACCUGGGAGCUUGCAGUGAGCCAAGAUCAUGCCACUGCACUUCAGCCUGGGUGACAGAGCGAGACUCCAUCUCAAAAAAAAAAAAAAAGAAGAAGAAGAAGAGAGUCGCCAGUCUAGCCCACAUUUAAAGGGCCUGGGAAAAAUGAUAAUUCAAUAGCAGUGAGUACACCUAAUUCAAGAUUGUGGUUUCUUCUCUAAAUGGAACAAGAACACCUUAAACAAUAGAUGAUUCCAGCACUGGAGUAGAAGGCUGAACUGCAGACUCUUGGACAGCUUAAGCUGCAGUUGGAGAAACCCCUAGCAGAAGACAGUAAAUCUUCUACCAUCAGUCAGUCAACUAAGCAUUUGCGCCCAUGUGGUCAUGGAUCUCAGCUGUGAUAAGAGGCAAUGAAGAGACAUGGAGGCAUUUUAAGCAAGAAAAUGGUAAGAACAUGUCAGAGGCAUUUGAACCAAAGCAACUCCAUCUUGAAUAGGAGCUCGGUAAAAUAAGGCUGAGAACUGCUGGGCUGCAUUUCCAGCAGGUUUGGCAUUCUUAGUCACAGGAUGAGAGAGGAGGUCAAUACAAGAUACAAGUCACAAAGACCUUGCUGAUAAAAGAGGACAUAGUAAAUAAACCGAUCAAAACCCACAAAAAGCAAGAUGGUGCUGAAAGUGACCUCUGGUCAUCCUCACUGCUUAUUAUACACUAAUUAUAAUGCAUGCGCAUGCUAAAAGACACUCCCACCUGUGCCACGACAGUUUACAAAUACCAUGGCAAUGUCAGGAAGUUACCCUAUAUGGUCUAAAAAGGGGAGGAAGCCUCAGUUCCGGGAAUUGCCAACCCUUUUCCAGAAAAACUCAUGAAUAAUCCACCCCUUGUUUAGCAUAUAAUCAAGAAAUAACCAUACGUAUACUCAGCGGAGCAGCCCAUGCCACUGUUCUGCCUAUGGAGUAGCCAUUCUC